UGCACGUGCCAAGCAAAAUGUGUCCACAUGCCAUGGUCUGGCACAGAUGCUGGGAGUUGCCUACCCCUGUACUAGGGAAUCGAUCUUGCACUCACGAAGUCAACAAAGUUUCUUCCUCGGAGAGAAAUGGGAAACACCAAACCCUUUUGGACUCCAAGUGACAGAGAACAGAUGGAAGAGGAAAAUCUGUCAAGUCCAUAGUCUGCAACCGUGGCUCAGUGAAGAAGUACAGAUGCAUGUAAUUUUUUUAUGAUUGAUGUAAUUGUAUUUCCUUAUUAUUAAAACAUAAAUAGUUGUUCCAAAAUGCAUAGACAUAGAUAAAACUAUAUUAUAAAUGUUAUUUAAUUAAAAUA